AAUUUUCUGAAAACGAUGUGACUAGUUUUCACCUUGUUGAGCGUUUUUUCACUAGUGCAACUUUGGAAUUUUUAUGAGAAUUUUGGUACGUUAAUGACCACCUCGCUCCGUGCUGGAAGCAAUAAACACAAAGCUUUUAAAGACUUUCUGACUUGACUAAUUGAGGUCGCUUUCGUCAGAGGCAGAGGAUGUGUAACCCUUAAAACGGUCUUCAUUUGCAAAGGAAACUCAACUCCUUGGACAGCCAAGACAAAAACAAAAACCUUAAUCUUCUGAUGCUUUGGAACUUCUGCCAUGUUAACUACUGACUGCUUAGAACAUUGUACUUGUCCAUGUGCCUAGGCAACAAUGAGACAGGCUUCGGAGUAUGAAAACUCUGUUUCUGUAUUUCUUGUAUUAAAGCCUUAAAGUGUAUAAUGUUAUAUACUUUUUAAAAUAAUUGUAUAUAUGAACCCUUAUUUGUUUAGUGACUCAAAAUGUUCUACUUGGAGCUCAAUAAAGAAUUUUCAUUUAAGUUCCUGUUACAAAGCAAUAAUGCAACUUCACAUUCCUUUAGUGACUCUUAGCCUUACGCAGCAACUUGAAGCGCGUGUGAAUUCUCAUGACUAGACUUUAAAUAUGCUUUUGGAAAUAGAUUGCCUGAUAUAUGAACAACAUGGAUAAAUUAAAUGGAGGAUCAGUGUUUGUUCUGGAACUUUAUGUAUUAGCUAAACACAAAACACCAAACAAAACUCAUAAGUAGUAGUGAUAAUCCAGUUUCCUUCAGAAACUUGUAUAACAUGGUAUUUUAAUUCCUGUCAGUUGUAUUAUGCUGCUUAUUCUCUUUCACUUGGUGUUUGCAUAGAAUUGUUUUCUCUGGUAUGCAAUCACUGGUUUUCUAGUAGUAGUCCUGAAUGAGGCUUUUACACUUUGAUUAAUCUUGUAUCUUACAGUUCUGUUUACUCAAUGCU